GACAUCAUAGCCAAGUGGUUACGGCGACAGAUUAGAACUAAGUUUCGAGCAUCUGUUUCCCUCUGGGAGCGCAGGUUCGAAUCCUGCUGGUGUCG